AGCGAACGCUGGCGGCAGGCUUAACACAUGCAAGUCGAGCGGGCGUAGCAAUACGUCAGCGGCAGACGGGUGAGUAACGCGUGGGAACGUACCUUUUGGUUCGGAACAACACAGGGAAACUUGUGCUAAUACCGGAUAAGCCCUUACGGGGAAAGAUUUAUCGCCGAAAGAUCGGCCCGCGUCUGAUUAGCUAGUUGGUGAGGUAACGGCUCACCAAGGCGACGAUCAGUAGCUGGUCUGAGAGGAUGAUCAGCCACAUUGGGACUGAGACACGGCCCAAACUCCUACGGGAGGCAGCAGUGGGGAAUACUGGACAAUGGGCGCAAGCCUGAUCCAGCCAUGCCGCGUGAGUGAUGAAGGCCCUAGGGUUGUAAAGCUCUUUCGGUGGGAACGAAACGGUGGGGGUCAAUACCCUCCACUACUGACGGUACUCACAAAAGAAGCACCGGCUAACUACGUGCCAGCCGCCGCGGUAAG
rnacentral:rRNA from 1 species